UUGUAGACUCUGGAAUGGAGCUGGAAGCUAUCAUCCUCAGCACACUAACGCAGGAACAGAAAACCAAACACUGCAUGUUCCCACUUAUAAGUGAGAGCUGAACGAUGAGAACACAUGGACAUAAGAAGGGGAACAACACUCACCUGUGAGUCCUUCAGCUUUGUGAAUGGAACAUGUACAUAUGAUCUACGAGGGCUAAAGGGAAGACAAGGAUCCUCUGCUGGAAAGAUCUGCCUCCCUUACCAUUGCUGGACCCCUUUUGUUAGAUGUUGAGCCUCCGGAAUAUGCCAGGCACAGCUGUAGAUGCGGGAGAUACUGUGGUGAAGAGAGGCGGCUUUCAUGGUGUUUACCUAAGGUCAACAGAAAACAAACAAGGUCAAUGCAGAGAGGGAUAAGUACUGUAGAGAAAGCAGA